rnacentral:lncRNA from 1 species
AUUUGGAAAGAGCAUCAAGAGACUGACUCUCUUCUCAAUCUUGGCACCAAAGUCCUGUACUUUUUCUUUGCCUCAGUUUUCUUACUUGUAAAAUGAAUGAAUUGAAUAUUUAUGGUCCCUUUCAGCUUCUUUUUUUUUUUUUUUUCCAUUCUCACAUGUAAAGGUUUGUAGAACAGUAAUCUCUUCAAUCUGGUAUUCUUGUGUUUUCUCCUUUACAUUCUUUCUUCCUAAAAUGAGAUCAAAGGGAAGCUCUUAAAGCUUUGCUUCUGCUUUGAAAAUAACUUUUUCUCUUAUUUGCUACUGCUUGGAAGAAGUUAUCUGAGAAGAGGACAGAGAAUCAGUCAUACUUUUUUGCCUUGGUGUUGGUUUGUGGAGAAGAAUGGCUAUGGAGAACAGGCUCAGAAUUUUAUUUUGUUUAAUAAUCAUCUGAUUUCUUUCCAUUGUUGCAAAAGUUGAGCAAUGAAUGGUCAGUGAUACCUCAUUCUCAAUGAGAGAAGUGACAUAUGCAGGUCCAUUUGAUCAUGCAGGAAAAACAAGACGGAGAAGUAAAAAAGCUUAGAAAAGCUAACUCUGCCUACAAAGUAGAGUUAUUUUAAAGUAAAGUUAUUGCCUAAGUAGUGUGGGUCAGGUCCACAUUAGAAGGAAAUAAGACAGGGAGACAGUGUGUAGAAGGAGCAUUGGAUUGAGGGGCAAUUGACCUAAGUUCAGGUAUUAGCUAAUUACUAUUGUGUGACCUUGCAUAAGUUAAGUCACUUCAUUCAACAUCAAGAUUCUCAGCAAUAUAAUAAUUUCUGAAGUGUUUUUUUAAUCCUAGAUUCUAUUUACUUUGUGUGCCACUGUUGUCUGUAAUUGAAGCUUGACUCCAAGGUAAAAGUGUGAUGAUGAUUAUCAACUUCAAGCUUCAAAUCAAGUUGUGCUUUAUAUAUGAACCCAAACAUGUCAUGUGUACCAGAUGUUUUUCUUAAGUGAGUUAACAGAGUUAAAAUUUUGAAAGAAUUUGCUGCUUUAUUUUUAAUGUGGU